AUUGAACGCUGGCGGCAUGCCUUACACAUGCAAGUCGAACGGUAACAGGUCUUCGGAUGCUGACGAGUGGCGAACGGGUGAGUAAUACAUCGGAACGUGCCCAAGAGUGGGGGAUAACGGAGCGAAAGCUUUGCUAAUACCGCAUACGAUCUACGGAUGAAAGCAGGGGACCGCAAGGCCUUGCGCCCAUGGAGCGGCCGAUGGCAGAUUAGGUAGUUGGUGGGAUAAAAGCUUACCAAGCCGACGAUCUGUAGCUGGUCUGAGAGGACGACCAGCCACACUGGGACUGAGACACGGCCCAGACUCCUACGGGAGGCAGCAGUGGGGAAUUUUGGACAAUGGGCGCAAGCCUGAUCCAGCCAUGCCGCGUGCAGGAUGAAGGCCUUCGGGUUGUAAACUGCUUUUGUACGGAACGAAAAGCCUCUUUCGAAUAAAGAGAGGUCAUGACGGUACCGUAAGAAUAAGCACCGGCUAACUACGUGCCAGCCGCCGCGGUAAAAC
rnacentral:rRNA from 1 species